UACAGAGGUCCCAAGCGUUGUUCGGAUUCACUGGGCGUAAAGGGUGCGUAGGCGGUCGGGUAAGUCUGAUGUGAAAUCUCAGAGCUCAACUCUGAAACUGCAUUGGAUACUAUUCGGCUUGAGGUCUGGAGGGGGGACUGGAAUUCUCGGUGUGGCAGUGAAAUGCGUAGAUAUCGAGAGGAACACCAAUGGCGAAGGCGAAUCCCUAGACAGAUCCUGACGCUGAGGCACGAAAGCUAGGGGAGCAAACAGG
rnacentral:rRNA from 1 species